rnacentral:lncRNA from 1 species
AGGGGGGAGUGUCCCCCGCUCCCUCCCGAACCCGUCCCCCACUUCCCCCUUCCCCGAGCUGCCGCCCCCCUCUGGUUUCUCCCUGGCCAAACGCUCGGCGCUUCCCCUCCCUCUCUCCCGGCCUCCUCAGGCCCUAGAGAGCGGCCUCGCACCCACAGCUCUGGGCGGAAACCCCAGGACCAGCAGCAAGAAAAGCUCGGAGGCUGGAGAGCCCGUCAGCCGGGGCCCCUCGUCUGCUCCUCAACCCGGCCCUGGGAGGUACGGGCUGCCUCUGGUGCCCAGGUGCAGGACAGGGCGGAGCUGGCUGGCCUGGGGGGGGGGGGGGGGGGGGGGGGGGGGCGGUGCUGGAGGGGGCGGAGCUGGCUGGCGCUGAGUCUCUGCUCCAUCCUCCUCCUCGAUGGAUUGAGACAGAGCUGGAUCUUUUCUUCCCGGGUCUCCUACCAGAAGGGAGCUUCUCUGGUCCCGCCCCCCCCCGCCCCUUUCUUUCGGACAACACGGGCCCAUUUCCUUAUAGAACUGAGCCUUUUUGGGGCGCAUUUUCACGGCCCUUUUCCUGCUUCCCCUACUUGUAUUCAAUGCAGUUUCUCACGUGCUCCCCGUCGCCCGGAUCCCCCAAACUUGGAAGUUUGGCUUUGGUCCAGAUCCCACUUUCUGGUGACUCUCAGUAACCCUGGGCCUUCUCACGUCCGAGGUGCAUUCUGGGUACAGAACGAGCAGGUGGCAGGGACCCCAGGGAAGGCCUGGGCUGCUCUCGGUCCCUCGGUCCCCUGCAGCCUCUUGUCCCUGGCCGCCCCUCGGUGCGCAAGCAUUCCUCAGUCCCAGGCCGUCCCUCACAGCCCCGGGCUGUCCCUCAUUCCCCGGCCGUCCCUCAGUCCCGGGAGAGCCCCUCUUGGCCCGGUACUUUCUCCCAUCAGCCCCUCUACAGUUUCCUUCUUCACGUGCUGCCCCUGCCUCGGAUUCCUUCUCCAAUGCGGCAGCCAGAUGGGUGCAAGCUGCCACGUGCCCUCCCAGUGUUAUGCCAAAGUUCUCUUUUAAUGGGGUGACCAGUCCCUCCAAUUGUCCUAUUUCGUUAUUCUGCCUUAGGUUAUGACUGUCCCCUCUUAAUGGUUGAGAUAAAGGUUUUAUAGACAUUCCUUAAUGUCAUUUAGAAUAUCAGUAACCUCUCUCUAUUAGGUUAUCCCCUAAUACCUCCUAGUACCUCCAUUAUGUCAUUGUUCUUGUUAUUCCAUAAAAGGCUCGCUGCCCCCAGACUCAGGGCUAGACUCUUUGAGAUGAUAGUCUCGUCUAGCCCCGGGGUCAAUAUGGAUCCAUUGGUCCCAGUAUUUCUCUCCAUUUAAUAAUUAUUGAAUUGGUCUCUAAUCUCUGUCUUGCUCAGUCUCUUCGGCAUUAGACAAGCCGGCCCAGCCAUGAUUCACCUCAAUGUGUGGCUGCCCUGGGAAGGGAGGACUGUCUCAGAGCCC